AUUGAACGCUGGCGGCAGGCCUAACACAUGCAAGUCGAGCGGAUGACGGGAGCUUGCUCCUUGAUUCAGCGGCGGACGGGUGAGUAAUGCCUAGGAAUCUGCCUGGUAGUGGGGGACAACGUUUCGAAAGGAACGCUAAUACCGCAUACGUCCUACGGGAGAAAGCAGGGGACCUUCGGGCCUUGCGCUAUCAGCUGAGCCUAGGUCGGAUUAGCUAGUUGGUGAGGUAAUGGCUCACCAAGGCGACGAUCCGUAGCUGGUCUGAGAGGAUGAUCAGUCACACUGGAACUGAGACACGGUCCAGACUCCUACGGGAGGCAGCAGUGGGGAAUAUUGGACAAUGGGCGAAAGCCUGAUCCAGCCAUGCCGCGUGUGUGAAGAAGGUCUUCGGAUUGUAAAGCACUUUAAGUUGGGAGGAAGGGCAGUAAGUUAAUACCUUGCUGUUUUGACGUUACCGACAGAAUAAGCACCGGCUAACUCUGUGCCAGCAGCCGCCGUAACAC
rnacentral:rRNA from 1 species